rnacentral:rRNA from 1 species
UCGCAAGAGGGAUCCAUGGUUAGUGGCGCACGGGUGAGUAACGCGUAGGUAAUCUGCCUUCAGGGCCGGAACAACCAUUGGAAACGAUGGCUAAUGCCGGAUAAGACCACGUAUAGCAAUGUAUGGGGUAAAAGGAGUAAUUCACCUGGAGAUGAGCCUGCGUCCUAUCAGGUAGUUGGUAAGGUAAUGGCUUACCAAGCCUAAGACGGGUAGCCGGUCUGAGAGGAUGAACGGCCACACUGGAACUGAGACACGGUCCAGACUCCUACGGGAGGCAGCAGUGAGGAAUUUUGCGCAAUGGGGGAAACCCUGACGCAGCGACGCCGCGUGGAGGAAGAAGGCCUUCGGGUUGUAAACUCCUUUUGUAGGGAAAGAUGAUGACGGUACCUUACGAAUAAGCCACGGCUAACUCUGUGCCAGCAGCCGCGGUAAGACAGAGGUGGCAAGCGUUGCUCGGAAUUACUGGGCUUAAAGGGUGCGUAGGCGGUUAGAUAAG